CACUGUGUGGAGGAGACGUUGAAAUGCACUUGAAAUCAGAAAACGAGGUUCUCAAGAGGUAAGAGCCCUUCAAACAAACAAGUUGAGGUGUCUAAUCCGCUGCAGAGCCAAUCGGAGGUCCUCCUAAUUGAGGAGACAAAGCUUAGGUAGCAUGGAUAAGUCCUCUCACAAGAUGAUUCCAAAGCCUAACCCGGGCAACAGAACAAGCUGGAUGCACGAGCAUCUUCAGUUGGACUGUUUAGUGCCAGACCAAAGUGGGAGGUUGCUGCAAUAUUCUCUGACUGCCUUCUCCAGAUGGUGUAAGUACAACACAAGUGCAGAUCUGGCCAGUUCGGACAGUAUGCAAUAGCAAAUUGAGUCGUGAUGGAAAGCCAAGGCAGACAUGGGCGGACAUGGAAUCCAGAAGAUGCAACAAAAUGAUCUGAACCUGGAAUGACUAUGUGGGAUCGCUGGUGUUUUUUCUUGUAUUCCGAGUUUCAGCUUGGCUGCGCGUUGAUAGGCAGGGCGAAGUAGUGCACUGUUCUGAAUGUGUAUGUCUUGGGGCUAGGUACAGUGCGAGAUGAUGUAAAUGCACAACGAAUGAUCUUGAUGUUCCUUCCGUUAGAAGAUCACUGAAAAUACAGCAAAGUAGCAGCAACUAAUUAAGCUAGUAAUAACAAAUAUAACGUACGGUAGAUGUGUUUUAUUAGAGAAGGUUUCAGAGUGAACAAUUAGCUCACUACCCAAGGACUCAUCCGAGUUGCCAAGUUGGAGAUGCUUUCCUAAAACCAUGUCAGUUAUUUCCGAAUGGAGGGCCAUCGUCAUGCGCUUCUAGAUCACUGGCGCUCGUAAUAGGCUCUUUUCGUUGUUGUCUCGAUGCCUUCAUGUGUCGCAGUGUUGUCACUAGAUAGUCUUUGCGGCGCAGAGUCUGUUGUUUUUGUCUUGGUAAUAUACAUAAUAUACGACAGAUAGAUGUUGUACUGGAAAUGAAAAUAUACGCCAGAUAAGACGAUGAAACAAAAACAUCUUUUGAAGCUGAAAUGACAUAUUGUAUAUAUUUCUCCAUAAAUAAGAGGAGGCUAGUAGCCUACCAUCUUUUUCAUCCAACCAUGCAACGCAAGUGGAGAUUUCUUUUAUGUGCUGAAAGUGUGGUGAUGAGUUGAGUCUGAGACAGAGCAUGCAGGUCCUGUUUGCUUCCUUUUUUUUUGCAGGGUCGGUCCUGUUUUCUUCAUCAUUCACUUGUGUGCAACGCGCUAUGUUCUGUGUCCUAGACACCCAACAGUUAUUUGCCAGGAGCCCGGGCGUCUAUACUUCAGGCAUCUGGAAGUAGAUUUACUCUGCAGUUUGGAUCAGUCUCUCUGUACUUUCUUUAGUUAAUCCUUUUCAAUUAAAAUAUUUUGUGCACAAAGGACUCUGAAUAAUCGAUUGUAUUGUUGCUAAGCUGAGUUUGCCGCAAAGCUCUUGACAGUUGGGGACUAUUGAUUUGGAAGGGUAACACGGGAAGGAUUCUUGGUCUUAUGCAGAGAGUUGGCAAGCCUGCAACAUGCAGAGCUAAAAAAACAAACAGCCAGAGGUUAGAAGGAGAAAUCUGUAAUGCUUUUGUCGUGGUGAUUGGUUUUAGUUCAUCAGUAGUUCCCUGGUGUGAGUGAAUUCUGACGGUCUUGUAUUCCAGGCAAUUGGAACUCUGUGUCUAUGAAGUUGGAGUCCCAAGCAUUAUUUUUCUUUUAUCUGGAGAAGACUGUAAUGCUCUCGUUGCCAUGGGAAAGAUUGAUAGGAUUCAGAGCCAGAGGCUUCUGCCAUAUACAGGAUUUCGUUAAUGGGGCAGCACCAGUGGGCGUCGAGAUCCACCACCGCCGCGAGCUCUAGUUCACCUGUAAGUAAU